GUAGAUGUAGUUUAAUGAAAAUAUUGGAUUGUGAUUCCAAAGACAGAGGUUAAAAACCUCUCAUCCACC
rnacentral:tRNA from 1 species